CCUACGGGUGGCAGCAGUGAGGAAUAUUGGUCAAUGGACGAGAGUCUGAACCAGCCAAGUAGCGUGAAGGAUGACUGCCCUAUGGGUUGUAAACUUCUUUUAUAUGGGAAUAAAACGUUCCACGUGUGGGAUUUUGUAUGUACCAUAUGAAUAUGGAUCGGCUAACUCCGUGCCAGCAGCCGCGGUAAUACGGAGGAUCCGAGCGUUAUCCGGAUUUAUUGGGGUUAAAGGGAGCGUAGGUGGAUUGUUAAGUCAGUUGUGAAAGUUUGCGGCUCAACCGUAAAAUUGCAGUUGAAACUGGCAGUCUUGAGUACAGUAGAGGUGGGCGGAAUUCGUGGUGUAGCGGUGAAAUGCUUAGAUAUCACGAAGAACUCCGAUUGCGAAGGCAGUUCACUGGACUGCAACUGACACUGAGGCUCGAAAGUGUGGGUAUCAAACAGGAUUAGAUACCCUAGUAGUC
rnacentral:rRNA from 1 species